rnacentral:ncRNA from 1 species
GGAUUUUUUUUUCUGUGUAUAUUAAGCAUUUUACCAAAUACAACCGCGCGUACCCUUGCGCAUUUGUUGAUGCAACAUCCACGUAUAUAUUAAAUGAGCGAAAGGGAAUCCGGUUACAAUUCCGGAGCCUGUUGGGUAUACGUUUGCAUUGGCGGUAAUACCGGAAACGGUAGCGCCUUUGUAAUCAUGGCAACAUGAAUCCUUUCCUUCGAGAAGCCAACAAGAGAUAUCGGAAGAGUUUUCUUUUCUGUUUUACAGCCACACUGGCCAUGGAAGUCUUUCAUAGAGAGAUAUGGUCGGACAAGCUGGUAGAGCAUGGUAUUAAAUUGCUGUGUCGAUAUUCUCUUCUUGGACCUUGAAAAUCGAAGACUUGGGCACGCAAACUCCCAACAGCUUGUACCGAAUCCGCAGCAGGU